rnacentral:rRNA from 1 species
UUGUUGGUAAGGUAAAAGCUUACCAAGGCUUCGAUCAGUAGCUGGUCUGAGAGGACGACCAGCCACACUGGGACUGAGACACGGCCCAGACUCCUACGGGAGGCAGCAGUGGGGAAUUUUGGACAAUGGGGGCAACCCUGAUCCAGCCAUGCCGCGUGAGUGAAGAAGGCCUUCGGGUUGUAAAGCUCUUUCAGCCGGAACGAAACGGUUACGGUUAAUACCCGUGACUACUGACGGUACCGGAAGAAGAAGCACCGGCUAACUACGUGCCAGCAGCCGCGGUAAUACGUAGGGUGCGAGCGUUAAUCGGAAUUACUGGGCGUAAAGCGUGCGCAGGUGGUUUUGUAAGUCAGAUGUGAAAGCCCCGGGCUCAACCUGGGAACUGCGUUUGAAACUACAAGACUAGAGUGUGGCAGAGGGGGGUGGAAUUCCGCGUGUAGCAGUGAAAUGCGUAGAGAUGUGGAGGAACACCGAUGGCGAAGGCAGCCCCCUGGGUCAACACUGACGCCCAGGCACGAAAGCAUGGGGAGCAAACAGGAUUAGAUACCCUGGUAGUCCAUGCCCUAAACGAUGUCAACUAGUUGUCGGGCCUUUACGGGCUUGGUAACGUAGCUAACGCGUGAAGUUGACCGCCUGGGGAGUACGAUCGCAAGAUUAAAACUCAAAUGAAUUGACGGGGACCCGCACAAGCGGUGGAUUAUGUGGAUUAAUUCGAUGCAACGCGAAAAACCUUACCUACCCUUGACAUGUAUCGAAGCCCGCAGAAAAGCGGGGGUGCCCGAAAGGGAACGAUAACACAGGUGCUGCAUGGCUGUCGUCAGCUCGUGUCGUGAGAUGUUGGGUUAAGUCCCGCAACGAGCGCAACCCUUGUCAUUAAUUGCCAUCAUUUAGUUGGGCACUUUAAUGAGACUGCCGG